rnacentral:lncRNA from 10 species
GCAAGGCGUGGGGCGCUAUGGGACUGCGCAGUGACGACCCAGUGAAGUAGAUGCCUUGACGAUUCCCAUUUCACGGAUGAGACGACUCCGGCACAGAGAAGUCAGAGGGCCUGUCCUGGGUCACACAGCCACAGGCGGCCCCCAGAACGGGACUUCAGGGUGCACCACUGCACCCCAGCAGAGACCUCCGCCUGGCACACAGGGAAUGCUGGAGCAAUACUUAAAUAGGAACAUACAGUGGCAUAAGAGAGACCAACUUGGUGAUAACUGAUCAUAGGAUUAGACCAAGGUGCAGAAGCAAACAGAACCUCCAUAAAAUGUAAUGAUGUCUUGUGCCUGCAAUCCUAGUGCUUUCAGAGGCCAAGGUGGGAAGAUUCCUUGAGCUCAGGAGUUCGAGACCAGCCUGAACAACACAACAAGACCUCGUAUCUAUGAAAAAAUAAAAAUAAUAAAAUUAGCUGCACACCUAUUUGGUGGCACACACCUGUGGUCCCAGGUACUCGGGAGGCUGAGAUGAGAUCAUUUGAGCCCAGGAGAUCAAGGCUGCAAUCAGCUGUGAUCAUGCCACUGCCCUCCAGCCUGGACAACUGAGCGAGACCCUGUCUCCAAAAAAAGUAAAAUUAAAAAAAAAA